CGCCCCGUGACGUGGGCCCAGGUGCGCGGGCCAGGUGCGCGGGCCAGGUGCCCAGGUGCAGCCGCGCCCUGCUGACCUCGCGGGUCCGCGCGGCCGCCGGGGUCCCCGGGGCGUCCCCUCUCCCUCCUGCUCCUGCCCCCUCCGCCCCUCCUGCCUCGCACCUGUCCCGCCCCCCCUUUCCGCGGUGUCCCCGAGGGCAGGGCGUGGGGCUGACUCCAGAGGUAAACUCUGGGUCACAGCCGCCCUGGGAAGUGGGUUUCUAAUGGAAUUUUUUAUCGUAUAUUUAAUUUUUUUUUUUUUUAAGAACGAGUGGCAAUCACCCUCACUGAUAACGCUGCCAGUAGAGAACGUGAGCUUCUCUGAGGCCCGAGCGCUCUCUGAAGCUAAAUUCUGGAGCUGCUCAGACGCAGGUGUUCCCGGGUGGGACCCGGCCUCACACGCCCUCCGCGGGCUCAGUGCACCGAGCUGCACACGGGCUCUCCUGCCUCCAGAACCUCCCUCUAAUUCGCUUUUCCUUGGCUGUCCUUCUUGCAAGGUGUAGUCUAGGAAGGAAGAAUGGUAUCUUUAAUUUUUUUUUAAUUAUAGAACAUAUAAAACAUUUACAAGAAUUAGGCAGUAUAAUCAUAAACAUCCACAAAAUGCCGCUGGGCAGCGUCGCCCUGGCUUCUGGUGACUGGGAAUCAUCACCUGUGGGCGGGGAUCCCGGCUGCUGUGAACCCCAAGAGCGGCUCCUCUGAUGUGAAAUGGGCCAUGGUUGCCUAAGUUGGCCCCUGUACACCACGAAAAGUAAGCGCUCCUUCAGUGACAGCCGAUGACAAUUUUUCCAUUUUUUUGUACACGUCAUGUUAUGCUAUAGACGCGAGAUGCUGCGUAGGUUAAGUCCAGAUUCUACCUAACUCUUUAUUCCAUCUGCCAAACUUCUCGUCCCUGCCUUACAAACACGAUCUCUUCAUAAAAGGAGUCUACAUGGGUCCCCACUUGACCUUUGGUUUGCAUGCAACAUUUUGUCAGUGAAAUAAAGGAGAUAAGAUUAAUUUUGUCAAAGAUCAGCAGAAGGAAAACUACACACAAGCACAGGUGUCCAUCAGGUUAGCUGAUGUCAGGAGACAUCCUCCACUGGAAUCCGGAUCUUGGCUAUCAAGCUGAGUCUCUGGAAGCUGUGUAACUCCACGCACUGGCCGGCAGGUUUUACUUAGCCGCGCCUGUAUUAUUUUAAUAACCAAAACUCACAGGCGUCGUGAUGGCAUCAAGGUAAAAACCACAAAGCAGGGCGGGGGUGAGGCCUGUUGUGUAUGCCGUCAGCUGCCCCACUUAAUCCUCACUUCUGCUGUUCAAUAGGAAAUUUUGUGUUUUCCGUAUUUAUUUGAUCAACAAACCUUUCUGUAUUCAAACCCUCAUUGGCAGGGAGUGGUCUGUUUUAUUUUCUCCGCAGAGUUCUCAGUAAGCUCCUGAAGAAUGCUCAAAGGGAGACAGGUUGUGACAAUCAGCUCUGGAAUGGAUGGAAGAAAGUCCCUCCCCCAGGCACCACUCUGUCCUUUUCCGUCUUGGGUUUGAUCUUGCAUCUACCUCUGCUCUCUGGGGCUCUACUGCUACAUUCUCCAAGACUGCUUGAGGGACAUCGGAACCGAGACUCGUUCUCUAUCAUGUUAGGAGACGUGAUUGGGCUUUCGGGACCCUCAGCCGGCCUUUGCCUGGAUCUCCCACCACUUUCCUGGUUAUUUCCCACUGCUUCUCUCACUGUCUCCACCACUGCGUUUGGUGCAAGUGGACAUGUGGAACAAAAUAAAUCUAGACCAUGCCAGUC